rnacentral:tRNA from 1 species
CCCUGAUGACUCAGUUGGUAAAGAGUCUGCCUGCAAUGCAGGAGACCCUAGUUCAAUUCCUGGAUCGGGAA